CAAAACAACCAUAUCGCCUUUUCUGAUGUCAGAAGCUAAGCGGGGUUGGGCCUGGUUAGUACUAGAUGGGAGACCACUGGAAAUACCACGUGCCAUAGUGG
rnacentral:rRNA from 1 species